GGGAGCCGUGGCCUUAAGAAAGGAGAGGAAUGCGGACCCCUCCGCCCGGGGCUGGAGAGGCCAGGCCUGAAAAGCAAUAAAGAGACGUGGUUCUGAGAGAGGAGGAGAGGGAGGGGUGUGGAGACCCCCAGUCCCAAGGAGAAAUAAGGGAGAGGGGGAUGGAGAUUUCAGACCCAGGGAACAGAUGGGGCUGAGGUAGAGACCCCAACCUUAGAGAGGGGAGGAGAUGAAGUCACCAGCCUCAGAGGAAAAGACAGGACACUCCCUCCUCCCGUAUCUGUGAGAAAGAGAGGGACAGCCAGCCCUAUGGAGAGGGAGAGGCAUAGGAGCCCCAGGACUCCCUCCCCUCACCUUCCGGGAAGGUCCCCUCUUCCUCCUUUGUUCUUUGAGGCUGAAGGACCUAAACUCCCAGCUGGGCCCCCAGCCGGUAUUUGUCUACAAGAGCAAUGGAGACAGAGCCGGUAUUUGUCUACAAGAGCAAUGGAGACAGAGCCGAAGCAAAAUUGAUGGGGGUGUGUCUUUGGUAGACAAGGUUGGAGGAGAGUGAAUAGAAGCCCCUAGAGGUGGUGCCUGUCAGAGCUGUGAGGAGCCUUCAAAAACCACCCAUCCACACCUCUCACUUUAUAAAGGAGAGAAUCCAAGUACAGAGAGCCCUGCCAGAUCCCGCAGGUCAGGCUUGACUCGCUUCUAGCUGAAAAGCGGUGCACCCAGGCAGCAGCCCCUCUGGAGGCUCAGGAGACUUCUGGGGGGUGAGUGUGAACUUGCGCGUUGGGAUCCUGCCUGCCCUAACUCCACCCCACCCCCAGGAAAGAUCCUCAGGCCUGCGGUUUUCUUUCUGGUCUGUUUUAUACAGGAGUGUCUACCUCAAGGGCUGACGAGCCUUUAUUGGGAACCAAGCAUUUUGGCCAUACAGUAGGGAUUAAGAAGCUGCCAGGGAUAGCUCCCACUCCCAUCUUUUUCCCUUCGCCUCUCCAAACCAUGGUCAAGAAGUCAGACUUGCCCUGGCCCUGGCCUGCUCUGGUUUGAAGCAUCAAAAGUUAGUGUUCGUUAUGUGUCAGGGGAAACCUGGAAAAAUCAUUCCCUCUGGUUACUGCUUUCCACAGUUCUGUCCUCUAACAACCUCAGUUGGGGGAUUUCAGAGAACAGUUAAGGCCUGGGGUAUCCCCUCACACUAAGGGUAUUCUGAUGUCAGUCUUUGUGUUCAUGAAUGGGAGGCGUGGCCUCUAUGGGAGGAAGGGAGGGAGAUGAGGAAGGAUGAUUUAUACACUUAGGGCUUGUGCGGGGCUAAUCGCCUGGACUGCUUGGAGAAAGAGAAGCUAGUACCCCCUUUCUCCAACAGUCAUUAGUUUCCAGGCCCUUCCAGGACCUGAAGGUCAGAUCUGCCAUGUAUGGUUGCACAGGUCAUUCAGUGCGCAAGAGUAUCCAACCAAGGGAGCAAGUGGGUGCUAAAAUAUAGCCGGCACUGCUUGCUAACCUGUGUGUCACGGUAGAAGCCAGUGUCCAACCAGAAGAUGACUUAUUUCAAGUGUUCCCAAGGGUUACUAUGAGCUAGCAGUGGCCCUUCAAAAGCCAUGCUGCCAGGACAUAAAUCCUCCCUCUGCCUGGUCCCCUUCCCUGAAGUACAGUAGGGAUAAGAGCUUGCUCAUUUCCAGGCUGUGGUGUGGUGGACACAAGGGCACAAAGAACUUCAACUAACAGAAGUCAGAGCCGAGGGUUUUCACUUUUAGGAAAUGUGAAUAUCAGUGCUCUUGCGUGUGUGUGUGUGUGUGUGUGUGUGUGUGAAGGACUAAACUGUAGAAUAACAGGGAGAUAUGUUAAUAGUAUGGUUUAUAGAUAAUAAUAACUAAUCCUCAAGAAUCCCUUGCUCUAUGUCAGGCUCUAUUCUAAGCGUUUUAAAUGCAAUGCGUUCCAUUUAAUCCCAGGAGCUGCCUUUUGAAGUGCAUAUAUGACUAUCACCCUGUAUAGAUUAGCAAACUACAGUUUAGAGAAGUUCAGUAACUCACCCAAGAUUAUCCAAUUUGUCAGUAGCAGGAUUCAACUCCAGAUUGUUUCCACUGCCUACAAUCUUAGCCAUUAUACUAUACUGCAUCCUAACAGAGAAAAGAGGAGACAAAGUGUAAAACAGAGUUUGGCCCUCUAUCUAAAUUAUACCAGUAUUUCUUAAACUUAUCUGACUCCAAAGCCCUUUUUUUAUCCAAACGUUUAUUAACAUCUCCAGGAACUACUAUUCCACAGGACACAGUUUGGGAAACUUGUGAUAUACUGAUUACUGCUAUUUGUGUAAAAUGCUUACUGUUCAGGAUAAUUACUAUGCAACAUAGUCACUGUUAUAAUUAAUAUGUCAGCUUAACUUGGCGAAUGUUUUUAUUUGAUACAGCUACACUGUUUGUGAUUGCCCAGUUUCCUAUUGCCCAGAUAACACGGUCAUGUCUUCUGACUUAAAAAUCAAAAUCAGACUUGUUUUUGGCUCUUUGGUGGACCCCUUUCCAUCUGGCUACUUCUUUAACUUCGGGGUUCCCCAGGGCGCUUUGCUUCCCUCACUGCUCAACUUAGAAAUUUCACCCACAUUCGUGGUUUUUACCAUGUUCUGGGCCCCGAUGACCCCCUAAUGCCUGGACCUCUCCACUGUGGAUGACCCACAGGCUCUUCAGACUUCGCAUACACACAUAUAAAGCAGUGGGCCAGAAUGCAUGGAUUCUGGCCUUUUUCCACCACUCUACCAGCUGUGCAGAUUUGGCUAAGCUAUUCAACAUUUCCAAAUUUCAUUUUCCUCAUCUAUAAAUUGAGAAUCAUAUCCACUUCAUGGAGUUAAGAGAAAAUGCAUGAAGAAGUCCUGGCACAGUGCCUGGUUCAUAUAUGUGAUUAAUAAAUGUUAGCCAUUGCCAACAUCUCUUUCCCAGGCUUGUUCCCCUUCCCUGUAUUUCCUAUCUCAGUUUAUGGCCCCAUUAUCCACCCAAGCACAAGCCAGAAACCCUAGAUUUGUGUCUCUCCCUCACCCACCAUGUCUCCAUCACUGCUCAUCUCUUGGAUAUUUUUCCAAUCCAUGCCUUCCUUCUCAUUAUGAAUCCCCUGCGUCAGACACUCAUCAUCUCUUCCAGUUGGUUCUCUGUCUCCAUUCUUGGCUCCUCUACCUUAGAUCUACACUGCUGUGAUCUAUCUAAAAUGCAGAUCUCCUCAGGCACGCCCCUCUUUCCUGCUCAGAAUAAAGACUAACUCCUUUCCCAUAACUUACCCUCCACACGUGCACACCUGCUUCUCUGCCUUAUGUCCCCACACUUUCCAUCUCGUUCUUCCUGCUCUAGUAACACCAUCCACUGCCUGUCGUUUCCCUACACGCAGAUUCCACAACUGAGCUCAUGUGGCUCUCUUGCCUGUGAGGCUUGGAGCUUUUUUCCUGGCUGACUCCUUUGGAUGUCAUCUACCAAGCCCCUGAACCCCAGAGGGAAUGCAUACCCCUCUUCUGUGCUCUGUAACAUCCAGGAGUUUUCACUGACCACUUACCAUUAAAUAUGUCAGUCUUAUGUUUGUCUGUAGUUCCUUUCAGGUAAGAAUCACGUCUUGCUUAUGUGUGGCUGCAGGACCCAGCAUAGUUCCUGAAACGUGGGAAGUUCUCUGUAAGCAUUCUAUAAACUGAUUGUGCCCAUUAAUGACUGAAAAGUACAGCUUGGAAGGACACUGUUUCUCCACCCCAAAGAACAGUGUCCAGCCUCUCUCUGUCAAGAACCAGCAAUAUAUACUAUUUACACUGGGCCCUUCCUGCCCUAAACAAGUUGCCAGGUAAAGACAAUCCAAUUCCAGCUGACUAGAUCAUCUAGAGGAAAGAGACCGUGGAGGUGACAGAAGUUGUUUUGCCUAGCCCUUUAGCAUUGACCUGCUUCAAGAUCUCCAGGAAAUUGUAGAAGGUUGGGAAAGACACACAUUGACACUCCCAUUGCAAUGCAGACCCUGGUGCCAGUCUCCCCUGUCAAGUCCCAUGUGACUAGAACUGCUGAAAUCCACCUCAAUUCUUUGCUGAUUUCUUGGGUGACCUUGCAAGACAUAUUUCCCUGGGCAACUAUUUACUAAGCCCUAAAUAUUGUCCCUCCUUGGCUGGGAGCGGUGGUUCACUCCUGUAACUCAGCACUUUGGGAGGCCGAGGCAGGCGGAUCACAAGGUCAAGAGAUCGAGAUCAGCCUGGUCAACAUGGUUGAAACCCUGUCUCUACUAAAAAUACAAAAAUUAGCUGGGCAUGGUGGUGGGCACCUGUAAUGCCAGCUACUCGGGAGCCUAAGGCAGGAGAAUCACUUGAACCCAGGAGGCAGAAGUUGCAGUGAGCCAAGAUCGCACCACUGCACUCCAGCCUGGGCGACGGAGUGACACUCUGUCUCAAAAAAAAAAAAAAAAGAAAUUGUCCCUCCUGUCUCCAAACUCCCUGAGGAACCAGCCAAGUUCAACCACUUGAACUAGUGAGAUAAGCUCUGGACUAAGAGUCAAGGAGGAAGUCCUAAGCCAUAAUCAGCUGCUAGUCAAGUCAUUUCACCUCUCAGACUCUGGAUUUCUUCAUCUGAAAGAUGUAGGACUGGCUGAUCUGUAAGGUCCCCAGCAGCCCCAAAGUCUAUGAUUCUCUGUUUCAAUAACCCCAUUACAAAGGAUACCUUCUCUGAUCCACUCAGUCAGAAUUCACACCAAAUGAGUUCCUUGAGAGUUGGGAUAUCAUUUUGCUCAUCUUUGCAUUCCCCUAAGAAACAACAUGACUUGAUCUAGUUUAGAUUCAAUGAAUUGUUUAGAGCUCCAAUUAAAAUAUUAAAGCAAAUGAUCACCAAGUAGAAACUACAGAGAAGGUGCCCAGUGGAAGUCAUGGUGUUCAGGUCAUGACUCCUCAUAAUUUCAAAGUUUUCCUCCUUCAUUGUCUGGACAACCCUGAGAAACCCUGUCUUUGCCAUCAAGAGAGAAUCAAGACAAUGAUAUGGAAAUGACUAGCCUUGAAUAUCUGAAAAGACCAAGUUAGUGUUCUUAGAUGCAAGAAAUACCUGAAGGAAAACAAACAGGCCUGGAAUAGCCACCCUGACUCCAGGGAGCAGCAGCCAGGGAACAGUUGCCUCAGAGCAUCCCAGUAAGGCAAAUCCACUGUUCUCCUGGAGUCUCCCCACUCUCCACUCAAAUUCCUGGUGAAGUCACAUGUCCACCUUUUGGUCACAAAAGAGGAGGGCAGAAAGCCUGAUUGACAGACCUUCUGAGAUCGAGGAAGGAAGAGCUGACAGAGGGAAAGUCCACCAGUGGUUAUAAGAAGUAAGAAGCCGCUGAUGUCCACUCUCUUGAGAGCCUCAAGAGAGGGAGGCAGAGUCACAUAUGAGGGACAUCCUUGUCCCCACUGUCAUAAGAAUGUACGCUAUGGUCUUUCACCAUUGGUCCCUGACAGUGAAGUGGGGAAUGGGGGUGGGGAGCCCUACCAAAUGAGACUGGUGCAAUUUUGCCUUCCUUUUUGAGGAUAAUUUUGAAGAAAAACUUUGCCUUGUCAGACAUGUUGUAGUUUAUUCAAGGUGACCAAAAAAAAUUAUUGGGAAGACAGAAGUGGGCAGAUCACUUGAGGGCAGAAGUUUGAGACCAGCCUGGACAACAUGGCAAAACCCGGUCCCUACUAAAAAUACAAAAAUUAGCCAGGUGUGAUGGCACAUGCCUGCAACGCCAGCUACUCAGGAGGCUGAGGUAUGAGAAUUGCCUGAACCCAGGAGGCAGAGGUUGCAGUGAGCAGAGACUGUGUCACUGCAUUCUAGCCUGGGUGACAGAGCAAGACUCUUUCUAAAACUAAAACAAAAACUUUUUUGGGAUCUUCUCACUAGGAAAAUGGAGGGCCCCCCCUUACAUUUCAACUUAAUAUUACACACACACACACACACACACACACACACACACACACACACCCCUCAGCUUAAUUGAGAUAUAAUUCACAUAUCAUAAAAUUCAUCUUUAUAAUGAGCACAAUUCAGUGGUUUUCAGUAUAUUUACAGAGCUGUGCAACCAUCACUCAUUAUCUAAUUUUAGAACACUUCAUCACCCCCAAAAGAAACCCCAAAUCCUUGGCAGUCUCUCCCUUAUUUCCUCCAAUUCCCGCUAGUCUACUUUCUGUCUCCGUGGAUUUGCCUAUUCCAGACAUUUCAUAUAAAUGGAAUCAUACAAUA
rnacentral:lncRNA from 1 species